rnacentral:rRNA from 1 species
GUCAAGUCAUCAUGGCCCUUAUGUCCAGGGCUACACACGUGCUACAAUGGCAUAUUCAAAGGGGAGCGAAGCAGUGAUGCGGAGCGAAUCUCACAAAGUAUGCCUCAGUUCGGAUUGCAGUCUGCAACUCGACUGCAUGAAGUCGGAAUCGCUAGUAAUCGCAGGUCAGCAAAACUGCGGUGAAUACGUUCCCGGGCCUU